rnacentral:other from 1 species
AGUCGCCUGGGGUAUUAGCCAAUCAAACGUGUUCUUGAGCCGAUAUCUGUUACUUCGGAGGCUUCCUGAAAGAUACUGUUGUGCAGGUCCGCAAGACGGAAAGCCUUAUGUAUCCCAGAAGCCACCACCUGGACCCUUGGGUUCAGGACUAUUUUGGUAGCGGUGCCCUGGGUGGCUU